rnacentral:rRNA from 1 species
AUGUUCGUGGAUUCUAAAACAAUGUUCACAAAUUCCAAAAAUGUUAUCGUGUUCGAAAAAUGUUUUCAUAAUUCCAAAAAUAUUAUCGUGUUCGAAAAAUGUUUUCAUAUUGAAGACAAGUAUGAAUUCCAAAAAUGUUCACGAAUUCAAAAAAUGUUCAUGAUGAAUUCAAAAAUGUUCACAGAUUCUAAAAACUCCUCACAAAUUCCAAAAUCGCUCACGUAUUCGAAAAAUGUUCACAUAUUCAAAAAUGAUUCAACCAUUGGAAAAGGUUCAAAAUUUUCGAAAAAUAUUCACAAAUUUGGAAAAUAUUCGGUAAUUCAAUAUUUUAGCAAAUUCAAAAAUGUGAAUUGA